GAUGAACGCUGGCGGCGUGCCUAAUACAUGCAAGUCGAGCGAACAGACGAGGAGCUUGCUCCUCUGACGUUAGCGGCGGAAAGGUGAGUAACACGUGGCUAACCUACCUAUAAGACUGGGAUAAAUUCGGGAAACCGGAGCUAAUACCGGAUAAUAUAUUAAACCGCAUGGUUCAAUAGGGAAAGACGGUUUUGCGGUCACGUAUAGAUGGAUCCGCGCCGCAUUAGCUAGUUGGUAAGGUAACGGCUUACCAAGGCAACGAUGCGUAGACGACCUGAGAGGGUGAUCGGUCACACUGGAACUGAGACCCGGUCCAGACUCCUACGGGAGGCAGCAGUAGGGAAUCCUCCGCGAUGGGCGAAAGCUUGACGGAGCAACGCCGCGUGAGUGAUGAAGUUCUUCGGAUCGUAAAACUCUGUUAUUAGGAAAGAACAAAUGUGUAAGUAACUAUGCACGUCUUGACGGUACCUAAUCAGAAAGCCGCGGCUAACUACGUG
rnacentral:rRNA from 1 species